UACAGAGGUCUCAAGCGUUGUUCGGAUUCAUUGGGCGUAAAGGGUGCGUAGGCGGCGCGGUAAGUCGGGUGUGAAAUCUCGGGGCUUAACUCCGAAACUGCAUUCGAUACUGCCGUGCUUGAGGACUGGAGAGGAGACUGGAAUUUACGGUGUAGCGGUGAAAUGCGUAGAUAUCAAGAGGAACACCUGCGGCGAAGGCGGGUUGCUGGGUCGACACUGACGCUGAGGCGCGAAAGCUAGGGGAGCGAACGGG
rnacentral:rRNA from 1 species